rnacentral:lncRNA from 1 species
CUAAUAUCACUAAUAAUGAACUCUUACUUUAUUCAUAGAUCUAAAAGAUAGUUUAUUUCUUGCUCCUCUAAUUUGUUUAUGACAUGACCUUUUUAUCUAAAUCAUAUUUUCAUUUGGAGUUUAUCUUGGCAUAUAGCAUGACAUAUUGAUCUAAACCCAAUUUUUGCUAAACCACUUUCCAGUUUUUCCAGUAGUUUUUGUCAAAUAAUAAAUUCUUACUCUAGAAACUGAGGUCUUUGGCUUCAACAAAUGAAAAGCUGCUAAAGUCCAUUUGUUUCUGUAUGUUGUGUAACUAAUCUGUUCCACUAAUUGGAUUAACCUCUAUUUUUUUUUGCUAGUACCAAAUCAUUUUGACUAGUAAAUGACUGAAUAAAAGAUAGCUAUUAAAGAAUUUACACUUACAAAUUUUGAUUACUUAAAAACAACAACAAAGACAAUGCAGCUAAAAUUAGAAAUGAAAUAGUGAACUUAAAAAAAUCAAGUUUCUCUGGUUAAGGCCUAAUUUCUAAAACAAAUAAGGACUUUAUUCAAAUAUAUAAGAUCAAGAAACACUUUCAAAUUGACAAGUGGUCAAAGUACAUGAAAAGAUAGUUGACAAAAGAAGAAUGCUAGGCUAUUGAUAUCUAUAUGAAAUAUACUUCAAUUUGUUUCUGUAUGAAUGAUGAAAUGUACAUUUUCAGGAAACCAGAGAUGACUUACAUAAACUGAUGCAGAUAAAGUGAAGAGAAUCAAAACUAUUCAUACUAGAAUUGCAUUUUAAAGAUAAUUUUGAAAGACUUGAGAACUAACUGUGAUUCCAGAGGACCAUCUUCCUGACCUUUUAACAGAAUGAGGAUAGAUUUAAGAAGCAGACUGGCCCAUAUUUUUGAAGAUGGAAAACAAUGUCCACUGAUUUCAUAUUAUACUCCUCAUGAGGAGGGAAGUAAGAAGCCCUUGAUGAAUCUAUUAUGCAACUGAACUCUAAUUACAUGAGAAAAAGUAUUAUUUGAAUCUUUGACCAACCCUUCAACAAAUAGUACCUUUCAAACAAUGGAUAAUAAUAAAGAUGGCAUCUCAUGAAAAGAUCA